GACGAACGCUGGCGGCGUGCCUAACACAUGCAAGUCGAACGGGGUUAAAGGAGAGCUUGCUUGAAUUUAACUUAGUGGCGAACGGGUGAGUAACGCGUGAGAAACCUGCCUCUCAGUGGGGGACAACAGUUGGAAACGACUGCUAAUACCGCAUAACACUUUAGUACCGCAUGGUACAGAAGUCAAAGCUUUAUGUGCUGAGAGAUGGUCUCGCGUCUGACUAGCUAGAUGGCGGGGUAACGGCCCACCAUGGCGACGAUGUCUAGGGGUUCUGAGAGGAAGGUCCCCCACACUGGAACUGAGACACGGCCCAAACUCCUACGGGAGGCAGCAGUGGGGAAUAUUGCACAAUGGGCGAAAGCCUGAUGCAGCGACGCCGCGUGAAGGAUGAAGUAUUUCGGUAUGUAAACUUCUAUCAGCAGGGAAGAAAAUGACGGUACCUGACUAAGAAGCCCCCGGNUAACUACGUG
rnacentral:rRNA from 1 species